rnacentral:lncRNA from 1 species
GCGGGUACGGCGAGUACACGGAGGCGACCGUGACGGAGGUGGUGUCCACCGGCGAGGACGAGUACGACACGUACAAGAAGGAGGAGAAGGAGCACAAGCACAAGCAGCACCUCGGCGAGGCAGGCGCCGUCGCCGCCGGCGCCUUCGCUCUUGUACGUCCUCCUCCUCCUCGAUCUUUCGUGCUUCCUUCGUUGUGCUGAUCAAUCUUUAAUUUCACUGUGUGAUCUAUCGGCCGCGACGCGAAUGAACUUUGGCUCCGAGUUAAAUAAUUCCUUGUGUGCAUGCAGUACGAGAAGCACGAGGCGAAGAAGGACCCCGAGCACGCGCACCGGCACAAGAUCGAGGAGGAGGUCGCGGCGGCGGCGGCCGUGGGCUCCGGCGGCUUCGCCUUCCACGAGCACCACGAGAAGAAGAAGGACCACAAGGACGCCGAGGAGGCCGGCGGCGAGAAGAAGCACCACCACCUCUUCGGCUGAUCUAGCUCGUCUGCAC